rnacentral:rRNA from 1 species
UACGGGGGGGGCAAGCGUUGUUCGGAAUUACUGGGCGUAAAGGGCUCGUAGGCGGCCAACUAAGUCGGAUGUGAAAUCCCCAGGCUUAACCUGGGAACUGCAUCCGAUACUGGAUGGCUUGAAUCCGGGAGAGGGAUGCAGAAUUCCAGGUGUAGCGGUGAAAUGCGUAGAUAUCAGGAAGAACACCUAUGGCGAAGGCAGCUCUCUGGGACGGUACUGACGCUGAGACGCGAAAGCGUGGGGAGCGAACAGG